rnacentral:tRNA from 1 species
UUCCUGGCGGUCCAGUGGUUAGGACUUGCACUUUCACUGCCAAGGGCCCAGGUUUGAUCCCUGGUCAGGGAA